UUAAAAAAUAUUUCGUUGCUUCCAUCAUAUUUAUUGAGCAUAAUUUGUAACGGUUGGUUAUCAUUGUUCACUAUGGACGUUGUACAACAUUGAACUUAGUUUUAAGAAUUUGUUACUGAAAUGAACACAUUACAUGGUUUACGAUUACUAUACAGGAAAAAGCACACAGCAAAAUAUAUUUUCCAUAACAUUUUUUUGCACUUCAUCAUACGACCGUUCCGAAACUCGUGGAAAGUGAAUGCGAUGAACUGAUUGAUCAAUUGACUUUGCUCGUUUCUAAACCUAUUGACGAAGUAUAAACUCCGUCGGUGUUCUUUUAUAGUAUGCAAAAAAGCGGAAAAUAAUAAAUUCUAUUUAUUACAUUUCAACAAUGUGAUGUGGAAGUGUAUCGUUAAAAAUCAUAUCUUUGAAACCCUAGCGUAGACUAGUAAUAGCCGAGUAUACAUUCAACCGAAGAGAAACGUUUUUAUCAUCACUCUUGUUGUAUUUGACGGAAAACACAUUCACCCUCAGUAGACUUUGCUGAACCAUAUUUAAUAUAUACCUUCAAAAAAUAAAUGCUUUAUAUAUAUUUAUUUUGUACAAGCUACAAGAGAUUUUGAAUAUCAAUAUACUACAUUUCGUUUUUAAC